rnacentral:rRNA from 1 species
CGCUAUCACUCCUACGGGAGGCAGCAGUGGGGAAUAUUGCACAAUGGGGGAAACCCUGAUGCAGCCAUGCCGCGUGUGUGAAGAAGGCCUUCGGGUUGUAAAGCACUUUCAGUAGGGAGGAAGGUAGUGUAGUUAACACCUGCAUUAUUUGACGUUACCUACAGAAGAAGCACCGGCUAACUCCGUGCCAGCAGCCGCGGUAAUACGGAGGGUGCGAGCGUUAAUCGGAAUUACUGGGCGUAAAGCGCAUGCAGGCGGCCUGUUAAGUCAGAUGUGAAAGCCCGGGGCUUAACCUCGGAAUUGCAUUUGAAACUGGCAGGCUAGAGUCUUGUAGAGGGGGUAGAAUUUCAGGUGUAGCGGUGAAAUGCGUAGAGAUCUGAAGGAAUACCAGUGGCGAAGGCGGCCCCAUGGACAAAGACUGACGCUCAGAUGCGAAAGCGUGGGGAGCAAACAGGAUUAGAUACCCUGGUAG